ACCUGCCUAUAAGACUGGGAUAACUUCGGGAAACCGGAGCUAAUACCGGAUAAUAUGUUGAACCGCAUGGUUCAAUAGUGAAAGACGGUUUUGCUGUCACUUAUAGAUGGAUCCGCGCCGCAUUAGCUAGUUGGUAAGGUAACGGCUUACCAAGGCAACGAUGCGUAGCCGACCUGAGAGGGUGAUCGGCCACACUGGAACUGAGACACGGUCCAG
rnacentral:rRNA from 1 species